GUUGAACGCUGGCGGCGUGCUUAAUACAUGCAAGUCGAGCGAACAGAGGACGAGCGUUCUUCUCUGAUGUUAGCGGCGGACGUGUGAGUAACACAUGGAUAACCUACCUAUAGGACUUUGAUAGCUUCAGUAACCCGUACCUAAUACGGUAUAUUAAUGAGAACCGCAGGGUUCAAGGGUUAAAGAGGUUUUUGCUGUCACUGUUAGAUUGAUCCGUGUCACAUUAGCUAGUUGGUAAGGUAACGGCUUACCAAGGCAACGAUGUGUAGCCGAACUGAGAGGGUGAUCAGCCACACUGGAACUGAGACACGGUCCAGACUCCUACGGGAGGCAGCAGUAGGGAAUUUUCCGCAAUGGGCGCAAGCCUGAUGGAGCAACGCCGCGUGAGUGAAGAAGGUCUUCGGAUCGUAAAACUCUGUUAUUAGGGAAGAACAAAUGUGUAAGAAAAUCCGCACGUCUUGACGGUACCUAAUCAGAAAGCCCCGGCUAACUACGUG
rnacentral:rRNA from 1 species